rnacentral:lncRNA from 1 species
CAUAGAAAUGAAUCUCUUCUAUCAAGAUGAAAACUACAAACGACUGUUUCCAUGAAAGUGAGAAUAAAGGGAUUAAUUACAUGGUCAACAGCUGGAAUUUACAAGGAGGCAAAUUAAAUAAAAUAGCAGACAAGCAUGAACUGCAUUCCCACAAAAGCCAUAAAAUGGGAAUACCAAGAGAACUGGCAAAUAUGGAGUCUCGCUCUGUCGCCCAGGCUGGAGUGCAGCGGCAUGAUCUCACUGCAAGCUCCGCCUCGCGGGUUCACGCCAUUCUCCUGCCUCAGCCUCCCGAGCAGCUGGGACUACAGGCACCCGCCACCACGCCGGGCUAAUUUUUUAUAUUUUUAGUAGAGGCGGGGUUUCACCAUGUUAGUCAGGAUGGUCUCGAUCUCCUGGCCUCGUGAUCCGCCCGCCUCGGCCUCCCAAAGUGCUGGGAUUAUAGGCGUGACUCACCGCGCCCGGCCCUAUAUUGUGAACUUCUACAAAUAAUAUGAAAGAAACAGAAGACAGGCAACACAAUAGAAAGUGGGCCAAAUCAUAAAGUGGGCACUUCAUGAAAAAGGACAUCCAAAUUGCUAAUAAACAUAUGAAAAGAUGCUCAACUCUCUUAGUCAUCAGCGAAAUGCAAAUUAAUUAAUCAGAAUGAAUAAAAUUAAA